rnacentral:rRNA from 1 species
CUCAGGAUGAACGCUAGCUACAGGCUUAACACAUGCAAGUCGAGGGGCAGCGGGAUUGAAGCUUGCUUCAAUUGCCGGCGACCGGCGCACGGGUGAGUAACGCGUAUCCAACCUUCCGUACACUCAGGGAUAGCCUUUCGAAAGAAAGAUUAAUACCUGAUGGUAUGAUGAGAUUGCAUGAUAGCGUCAUUAAAGAUUUAUCGGUGUACGAUGGGGAUGCGUUCCAUUAGGUAGUAGGCGGGGUAACGGCCCACCUAGCCAACGAUGGAUAGGGGUUCUGAGAGGAAGGUCCCCCACAUUGGAACUGAGACACGGUCCAAACUCCUACGGGAGGCAGCAGUGAGGAAUAUUGGUCAAUGGACGAGAGUCUGAACCAGCCAAGUAGCGUGAAGGAUGAAGGUCCUACGGAUUGUAAACUUCUUUUAUAAGGGAAUAAACCCUCCCACGUGUGGGAGCUUGUAUGUACCUUAUGAAUAAGCAUCGGCUAACUCCGUGCCAGCAGCCGCGGUAAUACGGAGGAUGCGAGCGUUAUCCGGAUUUAUUGGGUUUAAAGGGAGCGCAGACGGGUCGUUAGGUCAGCUGUGAAAGUUUGGGGCUCAACCUUAAAAUUGCAGUUGAUACUGGCGUCCUUGAGUGCGGUUGAGGUGUGCGGAAUUCGUGGUGUAGCGGUGAAAUGCUUAGAUAUCACGAAGAACUCCGAUUGCGAAGGCAGCACACUAAUCCGUAACUGACGUUCAUGCUCGAAAGUGUGGGUAUCAAACAGGAUUAGAUACCCUGGUAGUCCACACGGUAAACGAUGGAUACUCGCUGUUGGCGAUAUACUGUCAGCGGCUUAGCGAAAGCGUUAAGUAUC